UUGUGCUAUUUCUGUCUGCACUCUGUUACGUUUGGUUGUGGUGUUUACACUUCAACACAACGUAUUCAAUACGUGAAGUGAUCUGUUAUGUUAUUGAUUGUCCAAUUUCGUGUCGUGACGUGUUUACGUUUAAGAACUGGAAAGACCUGAACAAGAUCAUGAACCAUACUCCGGAAGCCAAACUCAGAUUGCAGCCGGAUACGGAAAAGCCACAAGGACUGCGCUGGUGCUGCUAUCGAUGGCCGUUGUUACAUUAGCUAACACGCAGCGUUUGAAUACAAAAGGCACGGACAUGCGUGAAAUUAUCGAUGCAUAUUCAAGAGAGGAACGUCACCUUCUGUACUCAAAGACUGCCACGGUACCGGUGCCCAAAUACCGUCUGAUGGCAAGCACAAGAUGCUUUUGGAGCGGGACAUCGCCAUUUUGUAACGGAUCCUGUGGCAAAGGUUUCAUUAUGAUUGCUAGGAAUAAAUCAGGAGACGGACUUAGAUGCUGGUUUGGCAUUAAAAAGCUUUGCUGCCCGUUGUAGAGGCUGAAUCCUGGCAUAGAUGAAGCGGAGUCGUUUCAUGUACACGGAUUUGGUGUCAAGUUUUAAUACAUACAAUUUCACCCUUAAA